GACGAACGCUGGCGGCGUGCUUAACACAUGCAAGUCGAACGGUGAAGCGCCUUCCUUUUUGGUGGGUGUGGAUGAGUGGCGAACGGGUGAGUAACACGUGAGUAACCUGCCCCCUUCUUCUGGAUAACCGCAUGAAAGUGUGGCUAAUACGGGAUAUUCUGGGUCUGUCGCAUGAUGGGUCUGGGAAAGAUAUUGUUUCGGUGGGGGAUGGGCUCGCGGCCUAUCAGCUUGUUGGUGGGGUGAUGGCCUACCAAGGCGGUGACGGGUAGCCGGCCUGAGAGGGUGGACGGUCACACUGGGACUGAGACACGGCCAAGACUCCUACGGGAGGCAGCAGUGGGGAAUAGUGCACAAUGGGCGCAAGCCUGAUGCAGCGACGCCGCGUGAGGGAUGGAGGCCUUCGGGUUGUGAACCUCUUUCGCCAGUGAAGCAGGCCUGCCUCGUUUGUGGGUGGGUUGACGGUAGCUGGAGAAGAAGCGCCGGCUAACUACGUG
rnacentral:rRNA from 1 species